rnacentral:rRNA from 1 species
GGUCAAGCGAACAAGUGCAUGUGGUGGAUGCCUUGGCGAUCACAGGCGAUGAAGGACGCGGUAGCCUGCGAAAAGCUUCGGGGAGCUGGCAAACAAGCUUUGAUCCGGAGAUGUCCGAAUGGGGAAACCCGGCCCUUAUGGGUCAUCCCUGACUGAAUACAUAGGUCAGGGAAGCGAACGCGGCGAACUGAAACAUCUAAGUAGCUGCAGGAACAGAAAUCAACCGAGAUUCCCAGAGUAGUGGCGAACGAAAUGGGAAGAGCCUUGUACUCUUUAGCAGCAUUGUUAGCAGAACGGGAUGGAAAGCCCGGCCAUAGCAGGUGAUAGCCCUGUAUGCGAAAACAGCGUUGUGGAACUAGGUGUACGACAAGUAGGGCGGGACACGUGAAAUCCUGUCUGAAGAUGGGGGGACCAUCCUCCAAGGCUAAAUACUCGUGAUCGACCGAUAGUGAACCAGUACCGUGAGGGAAAGGCGAAAAGAACCCCGGGAGGGGAGUGAAAUAGAUCCUGAAACCGCAUGCAUACAAACAGUCGGAGCCUGGAAACGGGUGACGGCGUACCUUUUGUAUAAUGGGUCAGCGACUUACAUUCAGUGGCAAGCUUAACCGAUUAGGGAAGGCGUAGCGAAAGCGAGUCCGAAUAGGGCGUUCAGUCGCUGGGUGUAGACCCGAAACCAGACGAUCUAUCCAUGGCCAGGUUGAAGGUGCGGUAACACGUACUGGAGGACCGAACCCACUAACGUUGAAAAGUUAGGGGAUGAGCUGUGGAUAGGGGUGAAAGGCUAAACAAGUCUGGAAAUAGCUGGUUCUCUCCGAAAACUAUUUAGGUAGUGCCUCGUGUCUCACCUUCGGGGGUAGAGCACUGUCAUGGUUGGGGGGUCUAUUGCUGAUUACCCCGCCAUAGCAAACUCCGAAUACCGAAGAGUGCAAUCACGGGAGACAGACAUCGGGUGCUAACGUCCGGUGUCAAGAGGGAAACAACCCAGACCGCCAGCUAAGGUCCCUAAGAUUGGCUAAGUGGGAAACGAAGUGGGAAGGCUAAAACAGUCAGGAGGUUGGCUUAGAAGCAGCCAUCCUUUAAAGAAAGCGUAAUAGCUCACUGAUCGAGUCGUCCUGCGCGGAAGAUGUAACGGGGCUAAGCCAGUCACCGAAGCUGCGGAUGCACGUAAGUGCAUGGUAGGAGAGCGUUCUGUAAGCCUGUGAAGGUGUCUUGUAAAGGAUGCUGGAGGUAUCAGAAGUGCGAAUGCUGACAUGAGUAGCGAUAAAGGGGGUGAAAAGCCCCCUCGCCGUAAGCCCAAGGUUUCCUACGCAACGUUCAUCGGCGUAGGGUGAGUCGGCCCCUAAGGCGAGGCAGAGAUGCGUAGCUGAUGGGAAGCAGGUUAAUAUUCCUGCACCGUCGUAUGAUGCGAUGGGGGGACGGAUCGCGGAAGGUUGUCCGGGUGUUGGAAGUCCCGGUCCCUGCAUUGGAGAAGGCGCUUAGGCAAAUCCGGGCGCGGAAUUCAAGGAUGCGGGGCGAGCGGCCUAGUGCUGCGAAGCAAUUGGAAGUGGUUCCAAGAAAAGCCUCUAAGCUUCAGUCAUACGAGACCGUACCGCAAACCGACACAGGUGGGCGAGAUGAGUAUUCUAAGGCGCUUGAGAGAACUCGGGAGAAGGAACUCGGCAAAUUGGUACCGUAACUUCGGGAUAAGGUACGCCCUUGUAGCUUGACUGGCCUGCGCCAGGAGGGUGAAGGGGUUGCAAUAAAAUGGUGGCUGCGACUGUUUAAUAAAAACACAGCACUCUGCAAACACGAAAGUGGACGUAUAGGGUGUGACGCCUGCCCGGUGCCGGAAGAUUAAAUGAUGGGGUGCAAGCUCUUGAUUGAAGUCCCGGUAAACGGCGGCCGUAACUAUAACGGUCCUAAGGUAGCGAAAUUCCUUGUCGGGUAAGUUCCGACCUGCACGAAUGGCGUAACGAUGGCCACACUGUCUCCUCCCGAGACUCAGCGAAGUUGAAGUGUUUGUGAUGAUGCAAUCUCCCCGCGGCUAGACGGAAAGACCCCAUGAACCUUUACUGUAGCUUUGCAUUGGACUUUGAACCGAUCUGUGUAGGAUAGGUGGGAGGCUUUGAAGCGUGGACGCUAGUCUGCGUGGAGCCGUCCUUGAAAUACCACCCUGGUUUGUUUGAGGUUCUAACCUUGGUCCGUGAAUCCGGAUCGGGGACAGUGCAUGGUAGGCAGUUUGACUGGGGCGGUCUCCUCCCAAAGUGUAACGGAGGAGUUCGAAGGUACGCUUGGUACGGUCGGACAUCGUACCUAAAGUGCAAUGGCAAAAGCGUGCUUAACUGCGAGACCGACAAGUCGAGCAGGUGCGAAAGCAGGACAUAGUGAUCCGGUGGUUCUGAAUGGAAGGGCCAUCGCUCAACGGAUAAAAGGUACUCUGGGGAUAACAGGCUGAUACCGCCCAAGAGUUCAUAUCGACGGCGGUGUUUGGCACCUCGAUGUCGGCUCAUCUCAUCCUGGGGCUGUAGCCGGUCCCAAGGGUAUGGCUGUUCGCCAUUUAAAGAGGUACGUGAGCUGGGUUUAAAACGUCGUGAGACAGUUUGGUCCCUAUCUGCCGUGGGCGUUGGAAUCUUGACGGGGGCUGCUCCUAGUACGAGAGGACCGGAGUGGACGUACCGCUGGUGUACCUGUUGUCUCGCCAGAGGCAUCGCAGGGUAGCUAUGUACGGAAGAGAUAACCGCUGAAAGCAUCUAAGCGGGAAACUCGCCUGAAGAUGAGGAUUCCCUGGAGCCUUGAGCUCCUUGAAGGGUCGUUCGAGACCAGGACGUUGAUAGGCUGGGUGUGGAAGCGCAGUAAUGCGUUAAGCUAACCAGUACUAAUUGCCCGUAAGGCUUGAUCCUAUAACCAGUGUGUUUCUACC